rnacentral:rRNA from 1 species
UACGAAGGGGGCUAGCGUUGCUCGGAAUCACUGGGCGUAAAGCGCGCGUAGGCGGCUUUGUAAGUUAGAGGUGAAAGCCCGGGGCUCAACCCCGGAACUGCCUUUAAGACUGCAUCGCUUGAAUCCAGGAGAGGUGAGUGGAAUUCCGAGUGUAGAGGUGAAAUUCGUAGAUAUUCGGAAGAACACCAGUGGCGAAGGCGGCUCACUGGACUGGUAUUGACGCUGAUGUGCGAAAGCGUGGGGAGCAAACAGG